CCACCCUUGUAGUGUUGAUGUUCUAACGUCGACCCCUUAUCGGGGUUGCGGACAGUGCCUGGUGGGUAGUUUGACUGGGGCGGUCUCCUCCCAAAGAGUAACGGAGGAGCACGAAGGUGGGCUAAUCACGGUUGGACAUCGUGAGGUUAGUGCAAUGGCAUAAGCCCGCUUGACUGCGAGAAUGACAAUUCGAGCAGGUGCGAAAGCAGGUCAUAGUGAUCCGGUGGUUCUGAAUGGAAGGGCCAUCGCUCAACGGAUAAAAGGUACUCCGGGGAUAACAGGCUGAUACCGCCCAAGAGUUCAUAUCGACGGCGGUGUUUGGCACCUCGAUGUCGGCUCAUCACAUCCUGGGGCUGAAGUCGGUCCCAAGGGUAUGGCUGUUCGCCAUUUAAAGUGGUACGCGAGCUGGGUUUAGAACGUCGUGAGACAGUUCGGUCCCUAUCUGCCGUGGGCGUUGGAAGAUUGAAGGGGGCUGCUCCUAGUACGAGAGGACCGGAGUGGACGAACCUCUGGUGUUCGGGUUGUGUCGCCAGACGCAUUGCCCGGUAGCUAAGUUCGGAAUCGAUAACCGCUGAAAGCAUCUAAGCGGGAAGCGAG
rnacentral:rRNA from 1 species